CCUACGGGUGACAGCAGUAGGGAAUAUUGCUCAAUGGGGGAAACCCUGAAGCAGCAACGCCGCGUGGAGGAUGAAGGUCUUCGGAUCGUAAACCUCUGUCAGCAGGGAAGAACGGUCACUGUGCUAAUCAGCAGUGAAUUGACGGUACCUGCAGAGGAAGCACCGGCUAACUCCGUGCCAGCAGCCGCGGUAAUACGGAGGGUGCGAGCGUUAAUCGGAAUUACUGGGCGUAAAGCGCACGUAGGCGGUAUGUCAAGUCAAGGGUGAAAUCCCCGCGCUCAACGUGGGAACUGCCUUUGAAACUGGGAAACUGGAGUGUGUUAGAGGAUAGUGGAAUUCCAGGUGUAGGAGUGAAAUCCGUAGAUAUGUGGAGGAACAUCAGUGGCGAAGGCGACUAUCUGGCA
rnacentral:rRNA from 1 species